rnacentral:rRNA from 1 species
CACGUAGGGGACGAGCGUUGUCCGGAAUUACUGGGCGUAAAGGGCGCGUAGGCGGCACUGUUAGUCAGGCGUGAAAGUCCUGGGCUCAACCUGGGAACUGCGCUUGAUACGGCAGAGCUAGAGGAUGGAAGAGGGUCGCGGAAUUCCCAGUGUAGAGGUGAAAUUCGUAGAUAUUGGGAAGAACACCGGUGGCGAAGGCGGCGACCUGGUCCAUUACUGACGCUGAGGCGCGACAGCGUGGGGGAGCAAACAGG